GACGAACGCUGGCGGCGUGCUUAACACAUGCAAGUCGAACGGUGAAGCGCCUUCCUUUUUGGUGGGUGUGGAUGAGUGGCGAACGGGUGAGUAACACGUGAGUAACCUGCCCCCUUCUUCUGGAUAACCGCAUGAAAGUGUGGCUAAUACGGGAUAUUCUGGGUCUGUCGCAUGAUGGGUCUGGGAAAGAUAUUGUUUCGGUGGGGGAUGGGCUCGCGGCCUAUCAGCUUGUUGGUGGGGUGAUGGCCUACCAAGGCGGUGACGGGUAGCCGGCCUGAGAGGGUGGACGGUCACACUGGGACUGAGACACGGCCCAGACUCCUACGGGAGGCAGCAGUGGGGAAUAUUGCACAAUGGGCGCAAGCCUGAUGCAGCGACGCCGCGUGAGGGAUGGAGGCCUUCGGGUUGUGAACCUCUUUCGCCAGUGAAGCAGACCUGCCUCGUUUGUGGGUGGGUUGACGGUAGCUGGAGAAGAAGCGCCGGCUAACUACGUG
rnacentral:rRNA from 1 species